AGAGAUCAAGUAAGACGUGCAGGGAAUGGAUACUCACGGGAAUUGAGUGAAGGAGUCGCAGGAGAUGGCGUGGACAAGCAGUUUUGGCUGAGUUGAGGACAGAAGUCAGAUUAGAAAGGGUGAGGAGAGAAUGGGAGGUGAGGCCAUGGAGAGGGGUGAGUACUGACUUUCCUCCCAGAAGUCUUGGUGGAAAGUGAGCAGAGGAUGCAGUGGAAGCUGGAAGGUAUCGUGAUGUUGUGGUUGCCCGAGUUGGACUAGUGCCUCAAGGGAUCCUCCCUCCUCAUCCUCCUGCAUAGCCCGGAGCCCCAGGUGUGAGCCACUCCGCCCAACCCAACACCAUAGCUCUACAGGGCCCUGAAGACAGUCCUUUUGCAAUGCCACUCAAUUUGCAAUGCUAAUAAAGCAAGAUAAAUUGCUUUAAAAAUA